UACGGAGGAUGCAAGCGUUAUCCGGAAUGAUUGGGCGUAAAGCGUCCGCAGGUGGCUGUGUAAGUCUGCUGUCAAAGAGUGAGGCUCAACCUCAUAAGAGCAGUGGAAACUACAUGGCUAGAGUGCGUUCGGGGCAGAGGGAAUUCCUGGUGUAGCGGUGAAAUGCGUAGAGAUCAGGAAGAACACCGGUGGCGAAAGCGCUCUGCUAGGCCGCAACUGACACUGAGGGACGAAAGCUAGGGGAGCGAAUGGG
rnacentral:rRNA from 1 species